AUGAGGCCAUCACAAGCUCUCUCGCUUCUCGUUGUUGUCCUCCUCCUCGUCUCGUCCAGUGCUUCCAUCCUAGAAGACACGUGCAAGCGCUUCGACGGCGCUGACAUCUAUGAUAUCUGCAUCAAGUUCUUCAAGGCCAACAAGGACAGCGCCACCACAGACAAGCGUGGCCUUGCUGUCAUUGCCACUAAGAUUGCCAGUGCGACAGCUGUGGACACCCGCAAGCACAUUGCCAUCCUGAAGGCCGAGGAAAAGGACCAGAUGAUCCAACAGGUCCUCGCCUACUGUGACAAUAUGUACUCCAGAGCUAUGGGCUUGUUUGACAAAGCUGCCAGGGGCAUCUUGUCAGGCAGGUUGGGCGACGCGGUGACGAGCCUCAGCUCCGCGUUGGAUAUUCCCAAAUAUUGCGAUGACGAGUUCCUCCAGGCAGGCGUGAAGUCACCGUUCGAUGCUGAGAACAGCGAGUUCGAGACGCAAUGUGCCAUAACUCUGGGUGUAACGAAGAUGCUGACCUUGUAG
rnacentral:rRNA from 1 species